AAGUCGUAACAAGGUUUCCGUAGGUGAACCUGCGGAAGGAUCAUUGUCGAAAUACAAAACCGGGGGCUGCCCUGCACCGGCGGCGACGCCGUGUCGCGGGCCUCCCAUUCCACACACCCACACCCCUGUGCACCUUUGGGAACGGCGGUCGAGAGGCUGCCGGGCCCAGUUUUUCAAACAAACGCUUUGCUAAAGUCUAAUGAACGUAAUUGGCGGCUCGUCCGUCCUAAACAAAAAUACAACUUUCAACAACGGAUCUCUUGGCUCUC
rnacentral:misc_RNA from 1 species